AUACGGAGGGUGCAAGCGUUACUCGGAAUCACUGGGCGUAAAGCGCGCGCAGGCGGCUUGAUAAGUUGGAUGUGAAAGCCUACGGCUCAACCGUAGAACUGCAUCCAAAACUGUCAGACUAGAGUGUGGGAGAGGAAGAUGGAAUUAGUUGUGUAGGGGUAAAAUCCGUAGAGAUAACUAGGAAUACCAAAAGCGAAGGCAAUCUUCUGGAACACUACUGACGCUGAGGCGCGAAGGCGUGGGGAGCAAACAGGAUUAGAUACCCCGGUAGUCC
rnacentral:rRNA from 1 species